rnacentral:rRNA from 1 species
AUGUUCCUGCACAGCAUGAUGCCGUUCGAAAGGAUGAAUGGUGUCAUCAAAGGAUACAUUCGCAACAUGUCACGUCCAGAGGGAAGCAUAGCCAGGGGCUUUCUGACCGAAGAGUGCAUCUCCUACUGCAUGAAUUAUCUAGGCAUCGAGAACCCCGUUGGUCUGCCAGUCAAAAGGCACCUCGGCAGGCUUGCUCGAUGGGGCCACCGUGAGGGUCGCCGCGAAAUGCAUGUCGACUUCGAGGGUCGACUCGCCGACUUUGAAAGAGCAAACCUAGUCGCGCUACAACACAUAGACAUGGUCGAUCCUUGGGUGGUAGAUCACAAAACCUUUAUUGAGAAGACAUACAAUGACCGAGGCCAACAGAGGACGGACGGAGAUAUAAUCAAAGAGCACAACUCAUGUUUCACACGUUGGUUCAAGCAGAAGCUUCUGUCGUACCCUUUACAUAAGGAUUCUUCCGCGGAAGAACAACUCAUAUUUGCCUUGUCACAGGGCGCCGAUCACAACCUGAUGACGUAUGAGGCGUAUGAUAUCAAUGGCUACACAUUCUACACCGAGGGAAAGGACAUGAAGAGCGGUGGUUAUCAGACCUCCGGGGUAAUGAUGGAAUCCUACACCCGUAACGACAAGGACAAAUACUACGGAAGGAUCGAGGAGAUCUGGGAGCUGAGCUACGCUAGAGAGAAGGUCCCGAUGUUCCGUGUCAGAUGGGCCAAGAGCGUCAUAAAAGAAGACCGGUAUUUCACCGCCAUGGUUAUACCCGAAGCCAAAUCUAAGACCGCGGGCGCAAAUGUCACUGCCAAAAAUGAGCCAUGGGUACUGGCUUCCCAAGUGGACCAAUGCUUCUUCAUUACCGACCCGUCAAAGCCCAAUCGUGUUGUCGUGAGGAGAGGCAAAAGGAAGAUCAUUGGAAUGGAUGGAGUCGCCAAUGAGCAAGACUUCGACAAGUACGGCGAUCCGAAGAUGGAACAUGACGACGACGAUGAAGUACCGACAUACACCACAAGAAGAAGCAGGACCACCCUACCUAAAGAACGUCCGUUCAAGAGAAGAACUCCAUUUACGAAAAAUAAGGGCAAGAAGAUUGUGAACAGAUAG